UACGGAGGAUCCAAGCGUUAUCCGGAAUUAUUGGGUUUAAAGGGUCCGUAGGCGGUUUAGUAAGUCAGUGGUGAAAGCCCAUCGCUCAACGGUGGAACGGCCAUUGAUACUGCUGAACUUGAAUUAUUAGGAAGUAACUAGAAUAUGUAGUGUAGCGGUGAAAUGCUUAGAGAUUACAUGGAAUACCAAUUGCGAAGGCAGGUUACUACUAAUUGAUUGACGCUGAUGGACGAAAGCGUGGGGAGCGAACAGG
rnacentral:rRNA from 1 species